AGAGAAUGUGUGCAGCCUCAGAGGGCUGGAGCCACCUGCCAAUUAGGUUUGAUGGUCUUCAGCUGUCCUCGUACGGCACACGGUGAUGGCAGCAGCCUCUGACUCAGGUCGGAGCCAGUGGCCCAAGAACCUCUCAGCUUAGGGGACGCGUCAGAGGGACUGGAUGUAAAGCAGAGAUAAACAGAAGAGGCCGGAG